rnacentral:ncRNA from 1 species
CGAAGUAGGAUGUUGCGCGUUAAGUGCCGCAGGAUGGGAAGUUGUCUGCGGACGAAGGGCCUUUCGGCCCGCGGUGCCUCAUCCGCAUCCGUUG